GGGUUCUUGCUUUGGCAGUCCAUAUACUGAAAUUGGAAUGAUACAGAGAUUAGCAUGGCCCCUGUGUCAGGAUGACAUGCAAAUUCACGAAUCAUUCCAUAUUAAA